rnacentral:rRNA from 1 species
GACGAACGCUGGCGGCGUGCUUAACACAUGCAAGUCGAGCGGGAACCCAGGAAGGGGUAACCCUCCCUGGGGGAGAGCGGCGAACGGGUGAGUAUCACGUGGGCAACCUGCCCCAGACACUGGGAUAACUCCGGGAAACCGGGGCUAAUACCGGAUACUCCGAUCGGACCGCAUGAUGCGAUCGGGAAAGCUCCGACGGUCUGGGAUGGGCCCGCGGCCUAUCAGCUUGUUGGUGGGGUAACGGCCCACCAAGGCGACGACGGGUAGCUGGUCUGAGAGGACGGCCAGCCACACUGGGACUGAGACACGGCCCAGACUCCUACGGGAGGCAGCAGUGGGGAAUAUUGCGCUAAUGCGCGAAAGCGUGACGCAGCGACGCCGCGUGGGGGAUGAAGGCCCUCGGGUCGUAAACCCCUUUCGGCAGGGACGAAGCGAAAGUGACGGUACCUGCAGAAGAAGUCCCGGCUAACUACGUGCCAGCCGCCGCCGUAACAC